AUGCUUCACCUUUUCCCCGCCGAGGAGCCAGACUUCAUGAAUGACAUGUACCAGGUGGGCCCAGGAGGCAGAAGAGCCCCAACCGGGGGGAGCAAGGUGAUGGCUGAAUCCAGGCUGGCCCUGAACUUGCAGCAAUCCUCCUGCCUCAGCCUCCCGAGUGCUGGGAUUAGAGGUCACACCCGGCUGCAUGGUUGGCAUUUGGUCUGUAGGAGCCAUCAUUUUAGAUGGGAUCACCCUCUUCAGCUGGCCCUCCCCUGGCUUGAUGGUGGGCAGCAGGCUCUCUGCUCUCAAGUCUCCCUGCUCGUGACCUCCCCCUGGGUGUCCAAGGGCCCAGAAACCGCAGCCCUGAGAGAUUUGAAUGCCCUCCCUGGAGGUGGCCACUUCCUCCAUCCUCCAGCAAAUGCUGGCCCAGCCCUUGGACCCAGGAUACAGAGCCUCCUCUGUCCUGGCCCUGCCCCGGGGUGCGGUGUUUACUGCUGGGUGGCACAAACAGUCGUCUUUCUGGGGUGGCAACCUUCAGGGAGGAACCCACCAACCACUUCCUCCAGGCGCAGAGAUGCUCCCUGGCAGCUCUGGCAGCUGCUUCGGGCUCUGGCGGUGAAGCUGAGUGGGCUCCCCACUUUGUGGCUGCCAGAAGACACCCCUUCUGCGGGCUCCUUCUGGGCUCUGAAGAGUCCCCAGGCCUGGUUCCUAGCCAGGUAUGUGAGGCCCCAGGGGGAGCCUUGGCUUUGGCCUCAGAUUGGGAGCUGGGUGGUAGACGAGCUCUCUUAGGGCUCUUUCUGGGACCUUGUGGGAGGGGAAAUUGAUCAAGAGCACAGAGAAGUUUGCUAAGGGGCCGGGGGCAUAGCUCCAUGGUAGAGCACCUGCUAGUGUACCCGGGACCCUGGGUUCCAGACGCAGCAUCCAUACAACUUACACCUUUGCUAAGGACAGACAGUGUGGGUGUGGGUCACAUGCAGCACCCCUGCUACCGGGGCAGGACGGGCUCAAGCAAUGUGGGCCCCUGCAGGCCAUGGUGUGGGCCUGGAGGGGAGCCCUGGCACCGGCAGGUCAGCAAGGGCCACCAGGGCUGCCAAGGCCCCCAUCCGCCCAGUGUCUCUGUCGGGGCUGGCCAAGCUCCCAGGCUUGGAGUAUUGACCUGAGCCUCAGUUUCCCCUGGAAAGUUGGGAUAACAGUGGCAUGGGUUAUUUCAUGGAUUCCAUGGGGUGUGUUCACAGUGCUGGUGCAGAAGAGGGCAGCCAAUGUGGAGCUCCCGGUCCUCACUAUUGGGGUGCAGGCUCCCCCUCCCAGGGCCCCCAAGGGAAGCCAGCCCUGAGCAGAGCCUACUGCAGGUGCCCUGGGCCCAGGAACGUCACAGGCCUGGGGGGGUCAUGCCAGGUCCCACUGUGGUCCUGAGGCUGAGCUGAGGCACCCUUUCUCACUUUUGGGUUCCAUGGCUUGGAGUGGGGAGAAGGGCUGGAGACAGGAUGCUUCUACCUUAGACGCAGCCUCUGACGUGCGCCCCUUGGAGAGGGUCAUCAGGGCUCCCCUGACUGCCGCCCCCCCAUAAGUGGGGUGGGGUGGGACAUAGGGUGGCCACCAGCACCUGGGCGGGACUGGGCUGAGGGUCAGAAAGUGGUGACCCAAGACACUGGGCAGGCAGGAAGCGUGUGCCCACUCCUCCCUCGGGGAGGCCCAUUUCCUUCCUAAUGGCGGGUGCUUUUACAGCUCCAAGGGUGGACCUUGCCCCACAGCCCCUUCACUGAUGUUUGUUUUGAUUAAAAACAGAACAUUGCUAAUGUAUCAAAUUAGUACAGUGCAAACAUCAUAGAAGUUUAUAAAGCUUUAAAAAGUUUAUAGGAGGGGCCGGAGAUUUAGCUCAGUGGUUCUGCCACCUGUCUGGCAAGCUCAAGGUCCUGAAUUCAAUCCCCAGUACCAAAAAAAAAAAAAGUUUAUAAAGUAAAGAUAGCCCCAGCCCUCCUGCCCCACCGCUGCCCUGCAGGGACACCAUGGCCGGUAGUCCCUGUGGCUUCAUCCUGACAUUUACAUAUGCACUUACACAUACAGUGAUGUGCUAUGCGUAAGUGACUUAGUAAAAAAGAAAAGCCAGGUGUGGUGGUGGGGAGGGAGGAGGAUCACUGUGAGUUUGAGGUCAGGCUAGACUACACAGCGAGACCCUGUCUCAAAAACAAAAGUGAAAAAAUAAAAACCAAGCAAGGCCGGGAUGCAGAUAGUGGUACAGAUCGUUAUUCUUGACUUCUGCUUUUAAAACUUUAUCUUUUUUGGUACCAAGGAUCGAACUCUGCACCUUGCACUUCCGAGGCAGGCGACAGCGCCACUGAGCUAAAUUCACAGCCUCCUUUUAAAACUUUUUUUUUUUUUAAUUCAGAUUUUUGAGACAGGGUCCUGCUAUUAGUUCGGGCUGGCCUUGAAUUCAGAGCAAUCCUCCUGCCUCAGCCUCCUGAGUGCUAGGAUUAUAGGCUGGCAUCACUGUGCUCAGUUUCAUACUUUAAUCAUUGGGACAGACGAAAGCUGUCUCUUUUGAGAAGUGGGGUUCUGGGUGCUGUGCCGAAGCCACACCGUGGAUUGUACAGUUUCCUUCAUCUGCCCACACUGUCUUCACCCUGCUCACAUCUCUAAGAUCUCCCCCACAAGAGCGGCUCAUUCAUUUCCCUUGCUAUGUAAUUUCCCCCAGUGUGAAUGGACCAUCAAGAAAAAAAAAUCCUUCUGUUGAGAGCUGCUUGGACCAUUUCCACUUCUGUUAUUAUUUUGAGCAGGGCUGCUAUGAAUUUAGUCAUGUAUAUUUACAAGGAUUUCUCCAGGGUCUAUGUACCUAGAUCUGGGAUGGAAAAAAAUUGUGUUUGAGAUAGUGUCUCGCUUUGUAGUUCGGGCUGACCCUGAACUCUUGUAGUUCAUGGCCUUGAACUCACAGCAUUCCUCCUGCCUCUGCCUCCCAAGUGCUGGGAUUAUAAGUGUGAACCCCCACGCACGGCUUGGAAUGGAAAUUUUUAUAAUUUUGUUUUCCAAAUUGGUUACACAAGACUCAGGUCUUUAAACUUGCUUUAAGUAUGCUGUAAAUGUCCUGCCUACUUCAUUUUAACAGCCUGCCAGUGGCUUCCUGGUCUCCCAACAGUGGCCAGUUAUGUUGUUAUUUUUCAUAGGAACAUAAAAUGAUGUGAUGAAUACCCUGGUAAUUAAAAAAGUAACAUUUUAAGUCUUAUUGUCUCUAUUUUCUAGAAGUAAGGUAAAGGAAGUAAUGUACAGCAGACCCUUGAGUGACGACUGGCCUGCCUGACAUACAACGGGUUAUGACUGGAAUUUUAGUUUUAACUUAGGACCAGAAUAUUGAGUUAGGACCCCAGUGCCAGCCGCAUGUGCUUCCCGAUGGUCUCCAAUACAGAUUUAACUUUUGUUUUGUUUUGUUUUGUUUGAGACCAGGUCUCACUAUGUAGUGAGACUGACCUGGAACUCAUUGUGUAGCCCAGGCUGGUCUUGAACUCACAGUGAUCCUCCUGCCUCAGCCUCCUGAGUGCUGGGAUUACAGGUGUGUGCCACCACGCCGGGCUGCCAGAUUUAACUCUUUAAAGAGUUCUGAAAGGAAAAUUACAAGAUCCUUUCCCAUGUGGGGUUCACUGAGAAGUCCUGGGCCAGUGUCUCUCUAAGGACAGUGAGAUCUGCCUGUGUGCAGGAGACUUUGGAGUCUGUGGAGAGGAGCCUGGGCCUUCCAUUACCAACUCGAGUUACAACCAGUUCUCAACAAAUUGCCUAAGUCAAGGGUCCACUCUAUCAAGGUUGUUCAGUUAACCAGGUGUGGCUGGCACGUACCUGUAACCCAGCACUUCAGGAGACUCAACCAGGAGGAUCUCAAUUUCAAGCCCAGCCUGGGCAACUUAGACCCUGCCUCAAAAUUAA
rnacentral:lncRNA from 1 species